rnacentral:hammerhead_ribozyme from 1 species
AUCCAACUGACGAGUCCCAAAUAGGACGAAAUGAGCAUCCUGGAU